UUUUAAUAGGUAAAUAAUGGUUCAAGUAAAAGAGAAGUGACUGAAGAAGAAGCUAAACAGUUUGGCGCAGAACAUAAUAUGUUCACUGUUGAAACAUCUGCAAAAACUGGUUCUAAUGUUGAAUUAGCAUUUUCUGCAAUCACUCAAGAAAUUUAUCAUAGAAUAAAAAGUGGAGAAUAUCAAAUGGAAGAAGGUUGGGAUGGUAUUAAAAGUGGGUAUUCCCAUCAUUCAGCAAACAUAGACUUUAAUAACUAUAUUGAAGCUGAACCAGCAAAAUCAUGUUGCUAGCCUUUCUUUUAUAAACAUUGACAUACUUAAAAAUUAUUAUCUCUACAAUGAGAUAAUGGUGUUUUUUGAGGAAAACUUAGCUUUAACAAUUUUUGUUUUUCUUUUGUUUUGACAAGUUUUAAUUGUAAGAAUAAAUGUAAAGAACUAUUUAAAAAAAUGGUACAAAAGACUAAAAUUUAUGAUUUAUUUAUAUAGACUUUUAUUGAUAUUACAUGUUAAUAGAUUUAUAAUUUUUUUUUUUUUGCACAUAUAUUUUUUAUAAUGACUAUAAUUUCUAGGCUUUAUAUGAAUUGUAUUAAUUAUAUUUAUGAAUUAUCUUAAAAAUAAACUAAUAAAAUACUGACAACUAUA